rnacentral:rRNA from 1 species
UACGUAGGGGGCAAGCGUUGUCCGGAUUUAUUGGGCGUAAAGAGCGUGUAGGCGGCUAUGCAGGUCCGCUGUGAAAACUCGAGGCUCAACCUCGAGACGUCGGUGGAAACCGCAUGGCUAGAGUCCGGAAGAGGAGAGUGGAAUUCCCGGUGUAGCGGUGAAAUGCGCAGAUAUCGGGAAGAACACCAACGGCGAAGGCAGCUCGCUGGGACGGUACUGACGCUGAGACGCGAAAGCGUGGGGAGCGAACAGG